rnacentral:misc_RNA from 1 species
ACCUCCUCACCUCUCUGGUGGAUGUGUCGGCUUAUCAGUGAUGAUAUCCGAUUAAACGCAUUAGGUUCAAUGCAGGCUGGUGGCCUGGGACACUGUGUGCUAGAGACUAGCAGUCUUAACCGACUGGUCUGUCUUCUCACGGUGCGUCCCGGGUCAUUCAAAGCUGGCCUGCAAAGGACCUUAACUGCGCACAGCAGGCAUGACCUGCGCGUUAAACCGCGCAUGACACGCCGCGCUGUGGCAACCUUUCU